CUCUUUUUCAGUGAUAACAGGGUCUACAAUGAGCGAUCAAACUUGGAAAUCACAGCUUGAAAUGCCCAUCCAGAUGAAGUCAUGCAGAAAAUGAAACAAAUCUGGCAGAACAAGACUGUGGUCAGAGAAACAAGACAAUGUCAAAGAAAAGGGCAACAAGUAGAUAAUCAGUACCGAUUUCUUUUCUCUCCUCCAACUCCCUCUAGCUCCCAUGACCCAGUUUCUUGUCCAAAGGUAGGAAUCGUAAGAGUGUACAGAAAUAAGUCACAUGCAGACCAUAUUGAAAUAUGCAGAGAAUUCCAUGGAGACUCUGAUGGCUAGGGCACCGUUGAGCUGUUGCAACUGUUCUGCUGCAAAAACUUUACACCAGAUCUGUCUACUUCUCUUCACCUCCACUGAUGACCAAUUCAGCCAUCAUCACUCAUCUCUCAGCUGGGCAACUUCAAGACCAUUUCAACCGGUCUCCAGAUUUCUAAUCUUGACAACCUACCAGCCAUUCACCAUAGCAGCAGUUACUUAGAAACAUGUAACUUCCCUGCCUGAACCUUACCAAUGACUUCUUAUUUCCCAUAGAAUAAAAUCCAAUGCCAUAUUUUGCGCACUGCUGCCUCCCAGGCCUCCUUGUGAAUGACACUGUACCUUUUCCAUUGUAUACACUCUUCCUGGCUUUCUCUGCAUUUUUCCAACAGCACUCAUUAUUAGUUCCAUCUUUAGGCUUUGCACUUGCUAUUGUCUUUGCCUGAGCUUAAACUUUCUGGUUUCUCUGUACCAUGCAAGCUGUAGGUCAAAUGCCCUCUCCUCAGGGAAGCCUUCUCUGAUCACCCAUUUGAGAGUAGCUUCUCAGUCAAUCCCUGUGACAUAACCUUUUGCACUGUCUUUGCCCUUUACACUCAGGGCUAUUUGGAAUUAUGAGUACACAAGCAGUGAUAGCUAGCCACUGGUAUUCUUUCUAUAGAUAUUUUAGGAAAUUUGAUCUGAA
rnacentral:lncRNA from 1 species